ACAGGUCACCAGACGGCCGCGGCCCUAUGGGCUGAGGAACGUCCGGGCUCCGCAGAGCAGGAUGGUGGGUAACACCCACCCGGGGCAACCCGCGGGCAAGUGCAACAGAGAGCAGACCGCCUGUCGACCGCGUCGGCAGGUAAGGGUGAAACGGUGGUGUAAGAGACCACCAGAGUGCCGGGUGACCGGUGCUGCUGGGUAAACCCCAUCCGGAGCAAGAUCAGACAGACGGCGUUCGAGGCUGCUCGCCGAGCCGUCGGGUGGAUCGCUUGAGGCCGGUGGUGACAUCGGUCCCAGAUAGAUGGCCGUCAGUCGAGGAGGGUGACCGACUCGAUGACAGAACCCGGCGUAUCGGUGGCCUGUCCUC
rfam:Brevibacterium casei S18 Contig01, whole genome shotgun sequence.